GACGAACGCUGGCGGCGUGCUUAACACAUGCAAGUCGAACGGAAAGGCCCUGCUUUUGUGGGGUGCUCGAGUGGCGAACGGGUGAGUAACACGUGAGUAACCUUCCCUUGACUUUGUGAUAACUUCAGGAAACUGGGGCUAAUACCGGAUAGGAGCUCCUGCUGCAUGGUGGGGGUUGGAAAGUUUCGGCGGUUGGGGAUGGACUCGCGGCUUAUCAGCUUGUUUGUGGGGUAGUGGCUUACCAAGGCUUUGACGGGUAGCCGGCCUGAGAGGGUGACCGGCCACAUUGGGACUGAGAUACGGCCCAGACUCCUACGGGAGGCAGCAGUGGUGAAUAUUGCACAAUGGGCGGAAGCCUGAUGCAGCAACGCCGCGUGCGGGAUGACGGCCUUCGGGUUGUAAACCGCUUUCGCCUGUGACGAAGCGUGAGUGACGGUAAUGGGUAAAGAAGCACCGGCUAACUACGUG
rnacentral:rRNA from 1 species